rnacentral:rRNA from 1 species
GGAGGAAACUUUGGAAGCCAGCCAACGCCCGCGGGGAAGGAUGACGCCAUUUCGGGGGGUUAAAAUUCCUUUUUAUAUGGGGAAGAUAAUGGCCGGUACCCAUAGGAAUAAGCCCCGGGCUAAAUUCCGGGCCCAGCAGCCGCGGGUAAUACGGGAGGGUGCCAAGCGUUACUUCGGAAUCAACUGGGCGUAAAGCGCGCGCCAGGCGGCCCUGACAAAGUUGGAUGUGAAAGCCUACGGGCUCAACCCGUAGAACUGCAUCCAAAAACUGUCCAGGCUAGAGUGUGGGAGAGGAAGAUGGAAUUAGUUGUGUAGGGGUAAAAUCCGUAGAGAUAACUAGGAAUACCAAAAGCGAAGGCAAUCUUCUGGAACACUACUGACGCUGAGGCGCGAAAGCGUGGGGAGCAAACGGGAUUAGAUACCCCGGUAGUCCACGCAGUAAACGAUGAAUGUUAGUCGUCGGGUAGCUAGUCUAUUCGGUGAUGCAGCUAACGCAUUAAACAUUCCGCCUGGGGAGUACGGUCGCAAGAUUAAAACUCAAAGGAAUAGACGGGGACCCGCACAAGUGGUGGAGCAUGUGGUUUAAUUCGAAGAUACGCGAAGAACCUUACCUAGCCUUGACAUAUAUUAGAAUCUUUCAGAGAUGAGAGAGUGCCUUCGGGAGCUUUUAUACAGGUGCUGCACGGCUGUCGUCAGCUCGUGUCGUGAGAUGUUGGGUUAAGUCCCGCAACGAGCGCAACCCUCGUCACUAGUUACUAACGGUUCGGCCGAGGACUCUAGUGAGACUGCCUUCGCAAGGAGGAGGAAGGUGAGGACGACGCCAAGUCAUCAUGGCCCCUACGGCUAGGGCAACACACGUGCUACAAUGGUUGGGACAAUGAGACGCGAUACCGCGAGGUGGAGCAAAUCUAUAAACCCAAUCUCAGUUCGGAUUGUUCUCUGCAACUCGAGAGCAUGAAGCUGGAAUCACUAGUAAUCGUAGAUCAGCUAUGCUACGGUGAAUACGUUCCCGGGUCUUGUACUCACCGCCCGUCACACCAUGGGAGUUGAUUUCACCCGAAGCGGGGAAGCUAAACUGGCUACCCUCCACGGUGGAAUUAGCGACUGGGGUGAAGUCGUAACAAGGUACC